rnacentral:lncRNA from 12 species
GGACCUAAGUGCUUUUUUUGAAAUUACUUAUUCUCUUGUUUCUUUUGCUCUGAUUUAAGCAGAAAUCCCACCAUAAAAGCACACUGGGAACACCAGGGGAAGAGUAGGAAGACAAGCAGUUAUUGGGAAUAUGUGGAGCAGUGACACCAUGGGAAAGCCAGCAAGGCAAUGUCCAGCUCCCUUCAAGGUCACUCACAACCUUCAAGUGACUUUCCAGUGCUUGUGCCCUGUGGUUUUAACUCCUGGAGUGAAGAGAUGGGGUCUCACUGGCAGUGAAACCAGUUGGGAAAUGUCAGCAGUAAAAUAAACACAUUUUCUGCAGGUAAAUUACUCGUAGAGGAUUUUUGUCUGCUUGUAAAUCAUAGAAUCACUGAAUGGUUUGGAUGGGAAGGGAUCUUAAAG